rnacentral:tRNA from 1 species
GCUUGGGUGGCUCAGCCGGUUAAGCAUCUGACUUUGGCUCAGGUCAUCAUCUCAGGGUUCGUGGGUUCGAGCCCCGCGUUGGGCU